AGCAUAAGAGCCCUUUUCCAUAUGAUAUUCACCAUGUAUCUUGAAUCGGCAUUGAAGGUCUUGGUCCUAAGGAGUUUCCGGUGCCCUCAAUAUGCACAAAAAAUCCUGAGAAACCAGAGCGAGCUACAAGCAUAGAAGCAGAGCAGAACGUGGCCUCAGGAAGAAUUCUUUCUCGUCUGGUUUCCCAGGAGCUAGCCCAUCAAUGAUAUUCAUGAGCACCCA